UUGUGUAUGAGGCUAGAAAAGAUCUCAUAUGGAAGCCCUUCUCGAACAUUUGGCAAAUCAGAUCCAGAGAUACAGUUUUUCUUGAAAUGUACCACUUCAGGUUGCAGGUCUUGACCACUCCAAGAAAGCAAUUGCAAGUCAAACUUGUGCUUCUUGCAGUGCGGCUUUAAUUCUUAUUGAAUUUUUGAAGGCAAGGCCCUAUAUAACAAUAAUCAAAACAAGACAAGACAAGUCUAACCUGAUUGAAGAAAUGAAGAUAGCUGUGCUUCGAAGGUGUAUGGGGAAAAUAAGUUCAGUCUGGAGAAUGGACAUACAAGAAUAGCAGCAAUCAGAAACAGAACUGGAAGAGGUGCCUGUUGUUAUAACUUCAAACCUUCUUCGGCUCACAGUACCUCUCUUGAACUUGUCUGUGAACAGUAGGGUAUUUUAAG